rnacentral:rRNA from 1 species
UACCAGCACCCCCGAGUGGUCGGGACGUUUUAUUGGGCCUAAAGCAUCCGUAGCCGGUUCUACAAGUCUUCCGUUAAAUCCAACUGCUUAACAGGUGGGCUGCGGAAGAUACUAUAGAGCUAGGAGGCGGGAGAGGCAAGCGGUACUCGAUGGGUAGGGGUAAAAUCCGUUGAUCCAUUGAAGACCACCAGUGGCGAAGGCGGCUUGCCAGAACGCGCUCGACGGUGAGGGAUGAAAGCUGGGGGGAGCAAACCGG